CACAGAGAGAGCAACAACGGGACAGUUGUAACAAUUUUCGCCAUCUUAUUUAUCACUACAUUCACUUCUGAUAACGUUUUAGGCGAGAAAUUAACUGUUUAGACUUUGAAUAUAGG